GAGUUUGAUCUUGGCUCAGGAUGAACGCUGGCGGCGUGCCUAAUACAUGCAAGUCGAGCGAACGGACGAGAAGCUUGCUUCUCUGAUGUUAGCGGCGGACGGGUGAGUAACACGUGGAUAACCUACCUAUAAGACUGGGAUAACUUCGGGAAACCGGAGCUAAUACCGGAUAAUAUUUUGAGCCGCAUGGUUCAAAAGUGAAAGACGGUCUUGCUGUCACUUAUAGAUGGAUCCGCGCUGCAUUAGCUAGUUGGUAAGGUAACGGCUUACCAAGGCAACGAUGCAUAGCCGACCUGAGAGGGUGAUCGGCCACACUGGAACUGAGACACGGUCCAGACUCCUACGGGAGGCAGCAGUAGGGAAUCUUCCGCAAUGGGCGAAAGCCUGACGGAGCAACGCCGCGUGAGUGAUGAAGGUCUUCGGAUCGUAAAACUCUGUUAUUAGGGAAGAACACAUGUGUAAGUAACUGUGCACAUCUUGACGGUACCUAAUCAGAAAGCACGGCUAACUAC
rnacentral:rRNA from 1 species